rnacentral:rRNA from 1 species
UACGAAGGGGGCUAGCGUUGCUUGGAAUCACUGGGCGUAAAGCGCACGUAGGCGGAUUCCUAAGUCGGGGGUGAAAUCCUGGAGCUUAACUCCAGAACUGCCUUCGAUACUGGGAAUCUUGAGUCCGGAAGAGGUGAGUGGAACUGCGAGUGUAGAGGUGAAAUUCGUAGAUAUUCGCAAGAACACCAGUGGCGAAGGCGGCUCACUGGUCCGGUACUGACGCUGAGGUGCGAAAGCGUGGGGAGCAAACAGG